GUGGGGAAUAUUGGACAAUGGGCGAAAGCCUGAUCCAGCCAUGCCGCGUGUGUGAAGAAGGUCUUCGGAUUGUAAAGCACUUUAAGUUGGGAGGAAGGGCAGUAAGUUAAUACCUUGCUGUUUUGACGUUACCGACAGAAUAAGCACCGGCUAAAUUCGUGCCAGCAGCCGCGGUAAUACGAAGGGUGCAAGCGUUAAUCGGAAUUACUGGGCGUAAAGCGCGCGUAGGUGGUUUUGUAAGUUGGAGGUGAAAUCCCCGGGCUCAACCUGGGAACUGCCUCCAAAACUGCAUGACUAGAGUACGGUAGAGGGUAGUGGAAUUUCCUGUGUAGCGGUGAAAUGCGUAGAUAUAGGAAGGAACACCAGUGGCGAAGGCGACUACCUGGACUGAUACUGACACUGAGGUGCGAAAGCGUGGGGAGCAAACAGGAUUAGAAACCCUGGUAGUCC
rnacentral:rRNA from 1 species